AGAACUUCGAACAAGGACCUCUAUUUCUUUCGCAAGAGCUUUGUUCAAGAAACAGACUGAAAAUCAAUAAGCAAACAGAUCAUAAAAGUCCCAAGAAACAGAUCAUAAUACAUUGCAGAAAGAGUAAAAAACUUGAAAAUCUAUUAUUAUCUAGUCAAUUAAUCGUGGAAAACUAAAGAAACAGGUUGAAAAUCAUUAAGCACAAGUGAAAACAAAAGAAAUAAGCAGAGUUUCCUCCAAGAAAAAGCCAUCAGCAGCCUAGUAAAAAAGCCUCCUGGCUUGAUUCUUGGGAAGAACCCACCUGCCAUUAACCCAAUCUUGAUGAAUUCUCAGCCUCUCAAAAUCAUAAACAAAUUCAUCUUUUGAAGAACAUUCAAAAUACACAAUAUACUUGUUUCCAAUCCUCGCAAUGACCUUCCCAACCCACCAUCCAUCGUUGUCAAAAGCAUCAACCUGAUCGUACAGUUUGAACUCAGUCACCGGAAUCUCCGGCGGCGGCGGACGAACCUCGGCGGCGGGGACAAUCUCUCUUAACGGACCUGACAUGUCAUCCUUCAAUAGAGUAUGAUACUGCACCAUGUAUUCUUUCCUUAACUGCCCCGUCGCCACCACCGUUGCCUCAUAGUAAGAUCCAAGAAAGCCUUCUUCAUUGCUGGUUAUUUCCACAACUUCACCAGCCCUAUGAAACUUCAUCGUUUUCUCUUCGGAAAUUGAAAUUUGAUUCAAAAUUUUGGGUAUUCUCUUGAUAGAGAAACGGUUUGAUGUUUGUAUUGAGAUAUUACUGUAUAUGUAGGGGUAUUUAUUAGUUAUUACGCUUUUGGAGUUGGGGUUGGAAUAAGGAAAGAAGGUUUGAUGACCGUUAGCAUUCUCCAAAUUUCGGGUUAGUUUAUUAUUAAAGUAAAAAAAAAAAUUUCUAUUUUGC
rnacentral:lncRNA from 1 species